rnacentral:lncRNA from 1 species
GAGAGAGAGAGAGAGAGAGAGAGAGAGAGAGAGAGAGAGAGAGAGGCGCUAGACACGUUCAGUUCCAGUAUGGGACGGGGCUCUUACAGGCCCACGGACAACACGCCUAACAGCGAGCCAGUCUUCAUCCUGCCAUCGUGUGUGGUGCUUGUGGUUUAGGUUUUGGAAGUAAAACAUUGGUGAUACGACAUGUCUAAAUAAUUACUGAAAGCAUGUUAGAGGAAUUCAACGUUGUUGGUAGUGAAUCAGUCCUUCGAUCCUUGUGAGUUUGUCGACGUUGACAGUGUUAGUGGCACAGCAACUGUGGUUAAUAGAUGCAGUAGUGGAAGCGUGCUCUGGUGAAAGCAGGCGACGCCGAAGGGCUGCAGACCGCCCUCGGCUCCCUAUCUGCAGGCGCCCUCUCGACUUUCUUGGGUGACACGGAUUUGUUUGGUUGGACUCCCUUACACUGGGCUUCCCGGAACGGCC